CCCUUAGAUGUCCUGGGCCGCACGCGCGCUACACUGAUGCAUUCAACAAGUUCUACCUUGGCCGAGAGGCCUGGGCAAUCUUUUAAACGUGCAUCGUGAUAGGGAUAGAUUAUUGAAAUUUUUAAUCUUGAACGAGGAAUUCCUAGUAAACGCAGAUCAUCAAUCUGCAUUGAUUACGUCCCUGCCCUUUGUACACACCGCCCGUCGCACCUACCGAUUGGAUGGUCCGGUGAAGCCUCGGGAUUGUGGUUCUUGCCGCUUUAUUGUGGCGUGACCGCGAGAACUUGUCUAAACCUUAUCAUCUAGAGGAAGGUGAAGUCGUAACA
rnacentral:rRNA from 1 species